rnacentral:sRNA from 1 species
GGCCUUUGGAAAGGAGAGAGGGUUGUAGCUGGCUUAAGCAUAGUGCACGCCCUCUUUCUCGACCUAGGUCCUUAUGGGCGCGGGGCGACCCGCGUCUUCAUAAGCCCCUUCGUGUAGAAAGUCUAUGAAUGUUUUUACCAUCAUCGACUCGCGACUUCUAGGAGACGCGAUUCUUUGAGACAAAAGUUUAUUACAACUUUCAGCAAUGGAUCUCUUGGCUCUCGCAUCGAUGAAGAACGCAGCGAAUCGCGAUAUGUAAUGUGAAUUGCAGAUCUACAGUGAAUCAUCGAAUCUUUGAACGCACCUUGCGCUUAUCGGUGUUCCGAUGAGCAUGCCUGUUUGAGCGUCAUUAAAUUCUCAACCCCUCUCGAUUUGCUUCGAGAGGGAGCUUGGAUCGUGGAGGCUGCCGGAGACCUGUUUUUCAGGACUCGGGCUCCUCUGAAAUGUAUUGGCUUGCGGUCGACUUUCGACUGUGCAUGACAAGGCCUUUGGCGUGAUAAUGAUCGCCGCUCGCCGAAGUGCACGAACGAAUGGUCUCGUGCCUCUAAUCAGUCGACGCCUUU